UACGUAGGGUGCAAGCGUUAAUCGGAAUUACUGGGCGUAAAGCGUGCGCAGGCGGUUAUGCAAGACAGAUGUGAAAUCCCCGGGCUCAACCUGGGAACUGCAUUUGUGACUGCAUAGCUAGAGUACGGUAGAGGGGGAUGGAAUUCCGCGUGUAGCAGUGAAAUGCGUAGAGAUCGGGAGGAACAUCAGUUGCGAAGGCGGCUCUCUGGACCAGCACUGACAUUGAGGCACGAAAGCGUGGGGAGCAAACAGG
rnacentral:rRNA from 1 species